AGUGAACCAACAUUUGGUGGCAGCCACAUAAGUGCAUUUGGAAGGGACAGUCAGGUGUCUAAACCAGUGCUCUUCCUCCUGAAGAACUGGAGCACUAGCCUGGGCUUGGAGAGAGCCUGCCCACUGGCUGCUUAGGGGAGCAUGUCCAGUGGCUGUCUACAUAUAUGAAAGUCUCUCACAGUAAACCAGGCUCUGCUGAGGGUCACAUUUACCACCACACAGGAUUUCCGUCGGUGAUAACAGCAGGGCCUGGUCAUUCCAGAACUGCCCCAUCUCCUCGUGAGUGUCUAUUUUCGGCGAGGCAGGCAUCUUAAUUUCUCCCAAGAAUGUGAUAUGAAGCCUUUGACAUCUGCUGUGUGACUAUAACUGCAGCACACCUCAACUUGAACAAGGCACAUUUCUAGUGGCCAGUGACUUGGAGCUGGACAUUGUGGCUCUGGACAACAUGUGGAAUGUCAUCAUCAUCCUAGGAAGAGAUCAUUAGGAGUGGUGAGGAGCUCAGAAGACAGAACUUGUUAAUAAAGCCCAGUGACGCCUGGAACACUGUCUGCCGACUUGUGGUUUACCAACCAGUGUGGGGAAUUGAGCCUAAUGGAACGGCAAAGGUCAUCAUAACAAACCAUUACAGUCUUCGACUUGGCUACGCCGGCCACAGAAGAACCUCCAAGAAACCGUCAUCAUUCCUCCAAUGUUAUGGCAUCCAGACGACAGGGAUGCCUCGCAAAUGAGUCAUCCGGGCUCAGAUCCGCAGUAGCUCCGACUCUCAGAAAAAUCCUAAAGAGGGUGAGAGAAGGUGGGCCUGACCCGGAACCCAUUAGGCUCAAUGGGGACUGGACUAUUGAAGACUCAGCUCAGGGAUGGAUGCAUGGAGAGCCAAAGAGGAGAGAAUGAAGGGAGAGAACUGGAGGCUGUGAGUCCCAGUGUGGAGUGCUCUGUGAAGGUAAGAUGCCUGAACAAGGACCACCAAGGGUGAAUGCUUUAGAUUGGUC
rnacentral:lncRNA from 1 species